rnacentral:rRNA from 1 species
CAGGCCUAACACAUGCAAGUCGAGCGCCCAGCAAUGGGAGCGGCAGACGGGUGAGUAACGCGUGGGGAUCUGCCCAAUGGUACGGAAUAACCCAGGGAAACUUGGAUUAAUACCGUAUGUGCCCUUCGGGGGAAAGAUUUAUCGCCAUUGGAUGAACCCGCGUCGGAUUAGCUAGUUGGUGUGGUAAAGGCGCACCAAGGCGACGAUCCGUAGCUGGUCUGAGAGGAUGAUCAGCCACACUGGGACUGAGACACGGCCCAGACUCCUACGGGAGGCAGCAGUGGGGAAUAUUGGACAAUGGGCGCAAGCCUGAUCCAGCCAUGCCGCGUGUGUGAUGAAGGCCUUAGGGUUGUAAAGCACUUUCGCCGGUGAAGAUAAUGACGGUAACCGGAGAAGAAGCCCCGGCUAACUUCGUGCCAGCAGCCGCGGUAAU